UGAACAGGAAUAAGAAAGGGCCUGGCUGUC
rnacentral:piRNA from 1 species